UGGGGAAUUUUGCACAAUGGGGGAAACCCUGAUGCAGCGACGCCGCGUGUUUUAGAAGGCCUUCGGGUUGUAAAAAUCUUUUCUAUGGGAAGAAAAUGACAGUACCAUAGGAAUAAGGACCGGCUAAUUACGUGCCAGCAGCCGCGGUAAUACGUAAGGUCCGAGCGUUGUCCGGAAUCAUUGGGCGUAAAGGGUACGUAGGCGGGUAAGCAAGUUAGAAGUGAAAUCCUAUAGCUCAACUAUAGUAAGCUUUUAAAACUGCUCAUCUUGAGGUAUGGAAGGGAAAGUGGAAUUCCUAGUGUAGCGGUGAAAUGCGCAGAUAUUAGGAGGAAUACCGGUGGCGAAGGCGACUUUCUGGCCAUAACCUGACGCUGAGGUACGAAAGCGUGGGUAGCAAACAGG
rnacentral:rRNA from 1 species